rnacentral:rRNA from 1 species
CAACACGCAACAGUGAAUUGUACCGGGUAAUGUACACACCGCCCGUCACACCAUGGGAGCAGGUUUUACCAGAAGUAUUAGCUUAUCACAUGGAGGGCGCCUUCCCACGGUGGGUAUUCGUGCUUUGUUUGUAAAAAGUUCUGGUAAAC